GCAUAGCUAGCCCACUUCGGGGUCCUCGCAACCAACAGAUAUCAACCACCUGCCUUCCACGUCGGCGGCCGCCGCAGCGGCGACAUAUUCUUUCGCGGGACAAGCGUCCUCAACAACAGCGGCAGAAGAUCCCGAAGAUGUGGACAACAUUGUUAACCCCGUUAUAACUGAUCAUAUGCUAUAUAUUUUUGCAACGUUUGAUAACAAAAUAGACGUGGGAAGGUAGAAAAGAAACAUAAAAUUUUUGGAGCGCCCGGCACAUUUGGAUGAGAUGAAGAAUGGAAAGAUAAACUUACUAUCCUCGUUAACUGUGUUUGUUAAUCAUCCCUUCGUUAUCCAUUUUGACGAAUACCAUCUAAAGCAUAUGGUAAGUGUUUAUUUAACUAAGGUCCCAAUUUAUAUUGACAGAAUUAGAAAAAGACAAUCAAAGCUUGGAAGCGAGAAAAUUAAAACGGCCCUUGAUAUGGUUUUAAAAACAAUCGUCGAUUGGGGCUUAUCCGACAAUUUGAUGGCAAUUGUGUCGGAUCACAACAAAUCAAAUUUUGACGCCCUACACGUUGCUACAUCAAAGCAAUUCCCUGUAAUAUGGGAUAUCUUCCAUCAGCGGAAUAUUCCUUCAUUCGU